GACGAACGCUGGCGGCGUGCUUAACACAUGCAAGUCGAACGCUGAAGCUUGGUGCUUGCACUGGGUGGAUGAGUGGCGAACGGGUGAGUAAUACGUGUGUAACCUGCCCUUGACUCUGGGAUAAGCCUGGGAAACUGGGUCUAAUACUGGAUACGACAUGUCACCGCAUGGUGGCGUGUGGAAAGGGGUUUAUUGGGUUUGGAUGGGCUCCGGGCCUAUCAGCUUGUUGGUGGGGUAAUGGCUCACCAAGGCGAGGAUGGGUAGCCGGCCUGAGAGGGUGACCGGCCACACUGGGACUGAGACACGGCCCAGACUCCUACGGGAGGCAGCAGUGGGGAAUAUUGCACAAUGGGCGAAAGCCUGAUGCAGCGACGCCGCGUGAGGGAUGACGGCCUUCGGGUUGUAAACCUCUUUCAGCAGGGAAGAAGCGAAAGUGACGGUACGUGCAGAAGAAGCGCCGGCUAACUACGUG
rnacentral:rRNA from 1 species